GUCAACGACUCAGCCCUGAAGGGACUGAAGCUCUUCAGCAACAGCUUGAAGUUUCAAACUUUCAGGUAAAGGAGACCAGACUCAGCACCCGCUACGUUCGUGGCAAAGUUAAAGAACCUACCUUGGAGUGCGUAGCUAGCUCCAAGCUCUAGAAACAAAAAGUUAAACAUGCCUAUCUGAGUUAUAUUGCAAGUGCUUUUGUAUAGUACUGACCACGAACAUUGUCAAAGCUAACAUCAC
rfam:Calothrix sp. HK-06 NIES-2101_Scaffold_119, whole genome shotgun sequence.